rnacentral:lncRNA from 1 species
UACAGUGGAGACACCAGCCUCCCCACAGAACAGGUGGAGUGGUACAACUGCAUCCUUUUCUCUCAGCGCAACCCGAGUGGACAUCGACCCGUUCAGAUUUAGCAGAGAUUCUUUUUUUCGCCAGUAUCGGGAUUUGCCUGUGUGAGUGGCUUUAAAAGGAGGAAACCAGAGGUAGGUCUUAACAAUCCUGGUUAUUCCAGAGCCAGUAAACAAUCUUAACUCUCUACUCUGGACCCUAGGAGUGGGCGAGAGAUAAUGAAAAGGAAAGAGAAGAGAUGACUCAGAAGGACUGCAUCGAAGGAAUUGGGGGCGGGGAAGAGGGCUGGGGCACAGCGUGAUUAUAUUUGGUCAUGUUUACUUGUAAACCAGUGUGAUGAAAGA